UACGGAGGGGGCUAGCGUUGUUCGGAAUUACUGGGCGUAAAGCGCACGUAGGCGGAUUGGAAAGUCAGAGGUGAAAUCCCAGGGCUCAACCUUGGAACUGCCUUUGAAACUCCCAGUCUUGAGUUCGAGAGAGGUGAGUGGAAUUCCGAGUGUAGAGGUGAAAUUCGUAGAUAUUCGGAGGAACACCAGUGGCGAAGGCGGCUCACUGGCUCGAUACUGACGCUGAGGCACGAAAGCGUGGGGAGCAAACAGG
rnacentral:rRNA from 1 species